rnacentral:misc_RNA from 1 species
UUUCCGUAGGUGAACCUGCGGAAGGAUCAUUAAUAAAUGGCUCGAUUUUAGAGCAUUAAUAAUCAUCCUACCCUUUGUGAAUUUGUUGUUUGAAAUAAUUUUUUUUAAAAAUUAUUGAUGUCUUUCCCUGUUGAUUGGUUGGCGUAAGACUAAAGUGAUCUCAGGGGAAUAGUCAAUAAUAUUUUUGAAAAAAGACCUUUUUUUUAAAAUUAAACUUUUUGUAUUCAUUUGUCUAAAAUUAUUUUUAUAAUAUAAAAACAACUUUUGACAAUGAUCUCUUGGUUCUCGCAACGAUGAAGAACGCAGCAAAAUGCGAUAAGUAGUGUGAAUUGCAGAAUACGUGAAUCAUCGAAUCUUCGAACGCAUAUUGCACUUUUCUAGUUUACUAGAAAAGUAUGUCUGUUUGAGUAUCAGUAAAAUAUUCUCAUAAAAACAUUGUUUUUUAUGGUUAUGAGUGUUUUACGACGAUACAAGUUGUUUCACUUUAAAUUUUUUGUUAUCAAAAAUCAUUAAAAGCUAAUUUUUAAAUUUUUUAAAAUUGGAUAAAAUUUCCCGUAAAAAGGAAUAACCUAAACAAUUUUAAAAAUUAAUUGGUUGAAUUUUUUUGAAAACCAAAGGAAAAAAAUAACGAAAUUAACUUGAUCUCAAAUCAGAUAAGAGUACCCGCUGAACUUAAGCAUAUCAAUAAGCGGAGGAAAGAAACUAACAAGGAUUCCCUCAGUAACGGCGAGUGAAGCGGGAAGAGCUCAAAUUUGAAAUCUUCAAGGUUUUACCUUGACGAAUUGUAGUUUAAAGAAGUGUUUUCUGUUGAAGUUUUGGUAAAAGUUCUUUGGAGUAGGACAUCAUAGAGGGUGAGAAUCCCGUAUUUGACCAUUAUUUUCAGCUGUGUGAUACACUUUCAAAGAGUCGGAUUGUUUGGGAAUGCAGUCCAAAAUGGGUGGUAAAUUUCAUCUAAAGCUAAAUAUUGGCGAGAGACCGAUAGCGAACAAGUACCGUGAGGGAAAGAUGAAAGAACUUUGAAAAGAGAGUUAAACAGUACGUGAAAUUGUCAAAAGGGAAGCGUUUGACACCAGUGUUGUCUUCUCGAAAAUCAAUUAAAAAGAGUUUGAUUUUGUUGUGUAUUGACCUUAACAGCUUGCAUUUCAAUUUUCUUGCUUUUUUUAAUGCACUUUUCGUUUAACAAGUCAACAUCAGUUUCUUUUGUUGUAAAAAGGUCAUUGGAAGGUGGCUUUCUUUUCGGAGAAAGUGUUUAUAGCCUUUGACUUCUGCAAUCGGAGAGACUGAGGUCUGCGGCGUAGAUCCUUCGGGGUUAGAUACAUUUAUGCUAAGUUAUAGCUUUUUAUAGACAACUUGUUGACUAUGAUUAGUCUUGUAGCUUACUCGCUUAUGCUAUUUUACCUACGCUUAGGAUGUUG